rnacentral:rRNA from 1 species
AUUAAACGCUGGCGGCAUGCCUUACACAUGCAAGUCGAACGGCAGCACGGGGGCAACCCUGGUGGCGAGUGGCGAACGGGUGAGUAAAGCAUCGGAACGUGCCCUGGAGUGGGGGAUAACGUAGCGAAAGUUACGCUAAUACCGCAUAUUCUGUGAGCAGGAAAGCAGGGGAUCGCAAGACCUUGCGCUCUGGGAGCGGCCGAUGUCGGAUUAGCUAGUUGGUGGGGUAAAGGCCUACCAAGGCGACGAUCCGUAGCGGGUCUGAGAGGAUGAUCCGCCACACUGGGACUGAGACACGGCCCAGACUCCUACGGGAGGCAGCAGUGGGGAAUUUUGGACAAUGGGCGAAAGCCUGAUCCAGCCAUGCCGCGUGAGUG